GAGCCCUUUCGGAAACCAGGAGAGCUCUGAAAAGCUGGUAGUACAGCCUUUAAAGGAAGUAUUAGUCCUGCGGUUGCCAGUGACAUCACAGGAGAGAGAUGGGCCCAGGAGCCAAUCAUUGAUAAAGUUGGGGCUGGCUGCUCACCCAAUCAAGUGGCCCAAGGGAGGAGGGCUCUUCCCAGUCCUGUUGCAGAAGUGCUUACUUAGAGUUUGGUGAUGAGAUCCUGGAGCUGAGCUUACAUCUCUUGUUCCUGUGACUUCUUACUGAGGGUUGCAAAAGAUCCUUGGAAAUCCUCAAGCAUCACAAUGGAGACAGUGACUUUUGAAGAUGUAGCUCUGAACUUCACCCCAGAAGAGUGGGAUUUGCUGAAUGAAUCCCAAAAGAAUCUCUACAGAGAUGUGAUGUGGGAAAUAUCUAUGAAUAUUAAUGCUACAGGAAGAAUAUGGUGGCCAACAAAUUAAAGAAGAGGACAAAAAUGGCUCAAGAAAUCUAAGCUGAUCGACACACAAAAGAGAAAGGGAACAUUCCUUAAGUUCAGUGUUUGAGCAAACUACUACAACAAAGAUGUGAUGAAGACAAUUAUUUGAGAAUUGAAGAGCAGCAAUAUAAAUGUAAUGAAGAUGUAGAGACCUGCAGUGAUUUCCAGUCCUUUCAGAAGCAUGAAAUGAGAAAGACUGGAGAGAAACUCUGUCAAUAUGGGCAAUGUGGGGAGGACAGCUCUGAUCUUAGGGAAUAAACUCACCCUGAGAAGAAAAUAUUUUCAGGUAAGAAAAGUGUCAAAACCUACACAAAACCUAACAGUGUUCAAAAUCAUGGGAGAUAUCACAGUUCAGGGAGCUCAUAUGUACAAAAAUAGUAAGAGAAUAAUUUCAUGCCUUCAUACUAUAUUGAAAAAAUGUUACAAAAUAUGUUGGAGAGAAAAACCAUAUAACUGAGAAAUGUGCAAAUGCAUUAUCUUGCAGCAAUUCCUUUAAAAACCAUAAAAAACAUCACACUGGAAAGCAAACAUGUGAACACAAGCAAUUCAUUCAGUACAUGCAGUAGCUGUCAAAGACAUAAAAGAAUUCAAACUGGUGAGAAACUAUAUAUAAGCAAAAAAAAGUGGAACAGCAUUCAUGAGAACCUCAGAAUGUAAAAUAUGAUAGAACUCAUACUGGGGAGAAAUCAUUUGUAUGUAAGCAAUGUGGGAAAUCUUUCAGUCAAAAUGGUAAUCUUAUUGUACAUGAAACAAUUCACACUGGGGAGAAACCCUAUGUAUGCAACAAAUGUGGGAAAACAUUUAGUAGAGCCUCUGAUUUGUAAAGUACAUAAUAGUAUUCACUCUGAGAAGAAGCCAUAUGUAUCUAAGCGGUGUGGAAAAUCUUUUAGACACAGAAGAUUCUUAAGUAGACAUAAAAGAUUUCACAGUGUGGAGAAAACCUUGAUAUGCAAACAAUGUGGGAAAUCUUUCAGUCAAAAUUGUAACUUUCUUAUACAUGGAAGAAGUCACACUGGGUAGAAACCCUAUGUAUGUGAGGAGUGUGAAAUAUUUCAGUCAAAAUGGUAACCUUAUACAUGAAAAAGUUCACUCAGGAGAAACCCUAUUUCUGCAACAAAUGAGGCAAAGCAUUCAGUACAACUUAUUGUUUUAAAGCUCAUGAUAGAAUUCACACUGUGGAGAAGCCAUAUGUAUGUAAGCAGUGUGGCAUAUCUUUCUGUCAAAAUGGUACCCUUACUCAUGAAAGAACUCAGACUGGGUAGAACCACAAUGGAUACAAACAAUGUGGCAAAGAAUUCAGUAUGCAGAGGUGCUGAAAACUUUAUUUACAUAAGCAUUUUUGGAUGUCU